GCUCCCAUUUUGUCACGCUAGCUGGAUGGCUCCGUGCUGAAGUUCUGCAACAAGUAGUUUACUGACCCCUGCAUGCACAGAGGGGUCAGGGGUGAGAAGAAAAAAAAAGUGUUUCCCACAGAACUAGACCACAUUCGUGGGAGUAGCUAUAGAGCAGGUUCUCCACCCUGUGAAGUGGAGGCCCACUCUAACCAGGAGCCACGGCACGAUCAUCAGCCUACCAGAAAACAUGAGGCAGGGAGGGCUGAUGCUAAAUGGUUAGCAACAGCUCAGCUCAUGGCUGCCCUUUCUUGAGCCUGCUUCUGCAGGAGGUCUCCUGUUAAAAGGGCGUUCUUCCUCCCCACUUUCAUCAAGUCCUUGCUGAUAGGGAAUCAUCUGAUUGUUGUAGUCCUCUCUCUGAUACUGUACCUUACAAUGGACUGUGCCUUCAGUCCACUGUUGCUGAGAACUGGCACUAUAUCAAUAAAAAAUUAAAC